rnacentral:rRNA from 1 species
AGCGGCGCACGGGUGAGUAACGCGUGGGUGAUCUCCCUUGGUGAUCGGGAUAACAGCGGGAAACUGCUGCUAAUACCGGAUAAUCUUCAUGUUUGACUUCAUGGGGUAAAGGUGGCCUCUGCUUGCAAGCUACCACACCGAGAUGAGCCCGCGUCUCAUUAGCUAGUUGGUAGGGUAAUGGCCUACCAAGGCUACGAUGAGUAGCUGGUCUGAGAGGAUGACCAGCCACACUGGGACUGGAACACGGCCCAGACUCCUACGGGAGGCAGCAGUGGGGAAUAUUGCGCAAUGGGCGAAAGCCUGACGCAGCGACGCCUCGUGAGGGAUGAAGGUCUUCGGAUCGUAAACCUCUGUCAAGAGGGAAGAAACCCUUGGAUUCAAACAGGAUCCUUGGCUGACGGUACCUCAAAAGGAAGCACCGGCUAACUCCGUGCCAGCAGCCGCGGUAAUACGGAGGGUGCAAGCGUUAAUCGGAAUCACUGGGCGUAAAGCGCUCGUAGGCGGUUUGGUCAGUCAGAUGUGAAAGCCCACGGCUCAACCGUGGAACUGCAUUUGAUACUGCCAGACUUGAGUGUCGGAGAGGGUGGCGGAAUUCCGGGUGUAGGAGUGAAAUCCGUAGAUAU